rnacentral:misc_RNA from 1 species
UGCGCUAAUUGUGCGCGCGAUUGUCACUCAGGCUUGAAUAAACAACGGAGCCGCGCGGCAAGGAUUAGGUGAUUAGCGCUUAAUUGCGUUACCACGAUUAUUCCAUAUUCGCCGGCGAGCUGCAGCCUGAUUUCAUAUUCGGACAGAUUUGUAACAAGCUGUGUGAGGAGAUAAACGGCAUCGGCGGGGGCGCAGGCGGGCCGCCGGUGAGUGGCGCGGGCAAGUGGGC